CUACCGUUAGCUUAGUUGGAAGAGCAAAGGACUGUAGUUUUACCAAAUCAGUAUUACUUAGGUCACCGGUUCGACCCCGGUACGGUACA